UUGAGAUUUUGAUCAAAGUGCUGAUCUUUGAACACGCCUUUUCGAAUCAUCUGGAAAAUUAGGGAAAGACAAGAAUUCUAGGCUUAAUCAAACAAGAACAUAUUGCAGUUACUGAUGGAAAAAGUCCCAAGACUUUUCCUAAUAAAGAAUACUGUCUUUGGAAGACCUACUUUCUAAAAUGGUACAGGUGGGUGCAGGUUUGUUUCAGAAAGGUUGUAGUAAAUGAAAUAUUUUAUUUAAAUGCUGUAUUAUAUUUAUUUAUUUAUAUCAUUUAUAUCAUUUUAGCCCCCCCCCCCCCCGAACAUUACUUUUUGAACAUUUUUAGGUAAAGGGAACUUUGACUUAAUUUCACAUACUUGAUUUUAUGUUACAGAAUGUCCAUGCAAAAUAUUUUUCAAUUAGUUAUUACUUACCAAAAUAUUAUCUGGUUUAAUAUCUGCAUGUAGGAUAUUGCAUCUUUUAAGAAGUUUUAAAGCCAGGAACAACUGUUGGCUGUAGGAACGCACAGCUUUAAUAUGGAGGCCAACAUCUUUCCCGUAUUUUUUCAACACCUCUCGUAAAUUCAUACUAUUGUAAGAAAGAAAACAAAAGAUACAUAUCUCACUUUACCCAAUUUACAGCAAUGAAACAAAAAUGCUGGUCCAUCAGAUCUACGCUAUACCAUAUAAUUACUUACUAGACUGGACAUAGCACUUCAGAACAUAUUUUUAAUCCGGAUUAAAUGGAGAGAAUUGAUUUGCACAAGAACAGCAUUUUCUUAACAGCUGUACAGCCUUUGUGUGCAGUUUCUUGAGAAGCAAUUAAAAAAGAAAAUAUGCAAAAGAUGGAAGUUGAUGAGGCAAUGUUUCGAUGACUUGAACAGCAGAUGAAAAGACGAAUCCACAACAAAAUCAUAACUGAAUACAAACGAUGUACAAAUGCAUUACGAAGAGACAGCACAAAAGUUAUUUGUCAUAAGACUGAUUAUUGACAACAUAUUAGUCACUUCAUAAAACUUGCACUGCUUCAGCAAAUGAUUUAUCCUCAAUUCAAAUAUCCAUGGCAAAAAUUAAAAUACACAGUGACAACUUAGCAUACAAGCAAUUGAUACAAACAACAUCUAAGCAGGAAUAGGAAAUAGGGCAACCAAAGUGUCUAGAUCCAUGAUAAAACAGUGCCUACAAUUAGCCAAAGAAUUCUAAUUAUUUAAAGGCAAGUUUACAGAGCACUGUAACCAUCUUCUUCUGUAGGUUGUUGCUAUAUAUCUCUUCUUCACAGAAUAUACAGUAUUUGCGCAACCUCUCUGGUAAUGCAUUCUUAAUCCAAACCCACAAGGUAAAGAAUUAUGUAAAUCUAAGAAAAAUACUUUCACUAAAAAAAGAAUAAUUAAGAGGAGCACUGGUGAGAUGAGUGAUUUAUGAGUAAUUUAAUGUGAUAAAAUUAAUUAAUAAUUUAUUAAUAAUAAAUCACUUUGCUUCAAAUACUGACUGGGCAUAAAGUUUACAAUAACACAAUUCACUAUGAAAAUGUGAACUGGUUCAGCAGAUUGUGGAUUUGUGCCUCUAGGUUUUUUUUUUCAGACAUUCCUUAAAUUCUUGAAUCUUGGCAAUGGAACAAACUACCAACCUUAAAACAAUAGUCAAGAACAAAAAGGUAAGGAUUACUUAGUUGUACUUUACUUUUCACAAAGGACACCGUAACACUUGUCAUCUUACCUCAGUGGUUCGAAUACGAGACAGAGAUGUUGUUUGUGGUAGAAAUGCCUGAACAAUCUUAGACAAUGAAACUUGUCAUCGGGAUCUGCAUCAUUGAGCUUCUUCAAAAAUUCCAGUUCUUUUAGGCCAGUUUUUUGCCUGCAAACAAAGAAAUACAAUUAGAAAACAAAACAAGUGAGAUUCUAGUGCCUUGUUUAAACCUUGAGAUUUACUUGUGGAGUUUUAGUUGUCAGUUUUAAUAGUACUACGUAAUGUAGCACCACUUGAAAAAGCAGCAGUAGUGGUUCACUGUUGGUGUCUACCCAUUGUUAUGUGUCUUUGAUCACCUGUGAUUUUGUAAUCUACUUAUUCUUCUCUCUCCUGUUUGUUUUUAAAUUACUUAGCCAAUUACACAAAGUUUUAAACUACACUGGCUACAGUUAAGUACACAUGAAAACCAAAUAAUCUUAACACAACUAAGUAAACCAGCUUACUAACUUUUUUUUCCCCUAAAUAUUCCUAGGUACUAUUCAUAUAGCUCAAAAUAACUCAGUUUCACACAAAUCAAAACAACUUUUAAGACUUCCAGUGUAAAAUGCGUGGAGAAGAUUUCCAUUUAAGUUAUCUUUAAUGUACAUAACACGUGGCUGCAGCUAUUAUGGCAGCAGAUGCUGAAAAUGAGUAUUAGAGAUCCUGAAUCCUCACAAAACAUAACACAGUUUAAUACAACGUCACCGUAGUUAAAGGUCACUCAGUCUAAAAGACCUCCAGUGAUUUUCUUUCUAAUAGGCGGAAUAUUAUCACUUUCUCGUAUCCUCUACACAUGCACAAAGAUGGAGAAUAUGCAAAAAUAAUUAACUUAAAUGUCUUUGUCUAAGUUAGAGAUGACUGAUUAGUAUCCAACCCACAGCUUCCCAAAUGGAUUUGGUUCAUCAAGCCAGAAUUUUACAGUCCUUGAUUCCCAUCUCAAAAAUCUUAGGGCUGGGCAGACAACAUAAUCAAUGUUAAGCUUAUUUCUUGCCACCACUGUUCCCUGCAGUUCUGCAAAUGAGAAAGUGCCUGAUGAAAAUGCAAGUACCCUUCUCCUGUGAGUGCGGAUACAUAGUCCUCAAGCUCUUCCAAUUAUAUGGCUCAUAUUAGCAGAAAAGGCAGGAACCACAGCUGUAAUCUGUUACUUCACUUGAAACAAAGGAAGAUUCGAAUCACAUCAUGAAAAACUUCCAAAGUCUCACAUGCUUUAUUACAGUAUUAUUAAACAAAAACAUUACUUACAUAAGUUCGUUGUUCCUGAUGAUUUUAACCGCUACUUCUUGGUUUGCUCUUGCCAUAUCCCUGGCUCGUACUACAUUACUGAAGACUCCCUGACCAGUGUAACCAUAGACAUUGUAACGUUUAUCUAGAACUUCACCUAUAUUAACACCUGAAGAAUAAAAAUCAAGCAAUUCAAGUAAGAGUUAUGCGUCGUAUGCACAGUGAAACAUUUUAUGAAAAAUAAAUGGUUCUAAAUAAUAUCAACAGUAUAAUCACUUAAUUUCAUAGCAUGCUAGCACCAAUCUUUGUGGAAAUUAUGGGGAACAUCAGCAAUUCUAAGUCUGGAAUCCUUCUCUUCUUGAGGUUAAAAUCUGCAUGCCCAUUUCGUCCAUUACAGGUAUAUUUAUUUUGGCCCUUACACCUGCAAAUGAGCUUUUAACACUGACUAGUAAGUAAAACAUGCUCACUCACUCGCUAUCCCCAUUCUGAAUCCUAGAUAACAACUAUCACAAGUGCCACCUAUAUUCUCUUGGAUGCUAGAUUUCUUGGUUUCAGAUUCUGGCACGCAUUCCUUCAUUCCUUCCCUCGUGAGGGUGAUCUCACGGCUGUAACUAUGGACAGGUUUUAGUUUUACCCUAACUCAAAUUUUAUAUCUAGAAGCAACUUGAUGCUGCACAACUGUGCAAGAGCAGAAAACUGCUUUGGGCACGCCAUAUUCAGCAUGGCACUCACAGCAGAAUAUUCACAUUAGAGCAUUCCAUUACUUUUACAUGAGGUUCUUUUUCAUUUAGCAUCCUGCUUCUUGCUACAGUUGCAAACCAAUAAAUGAAACUUACGAUAAUAGCCUUCUGCAUCAGUCCAGUUAUCCCUGAGAUUGGGGUUUUCUUUGAAGUCUUUUCCAAACCCAGCAGCCCUUAGACGAGCACUCUGAAACAAAAAGAACAAAUAGAACAGCUUUGCUUGUGUGCUUAAGCUGUAUGUUUUCUUUAACGUUUACUUAUAAAAAUCAGAAGUCCACAUUACUAGGCACUUUUCUCCUACUGAAACAAUGCUCUUCUCCACACUACAGAGACAUAUAUCUUGUAGGAGAAAAAAACUACUCAACACAGAAUGCUACUUAAAUACCACUGUUUGAAGACUGUUGCAAGGGAAUGGGAUAGGGACAAGCAACAGAACUAUUAUUAAAUAUGAGAAAUGAGACACGUUUCAACUAUUAUCUGCAAUGAAUUUAUACAAGUCAAAUUAGAGCACACAGUUCGCACUGUAUUAAUUAGACUUACUACUUACAGUAUAUUUGUAGUAAUAAAAGUUUAGCAACUUGGGGGGUAAAUGUAACUGUUUAAGCCUUGAAUUUCUUUCUCUUCAUUCAGUGCCACCUCCCAAAAUCCAUGCUGUUACACUUACAAUCAUAAAAGUAUUACAGUUGCUGUCGACAUUGCUUAACUGAGUUGACAAUAUAUUAUCACAAAUUCAAAUUCAUGAGUAGUAAAAAAUAUCUUUGACUGAACAACAGUUUUUGUAGAACUGAUUACUUACAAACCGUUUAAAUCCCUACUUGUUAUCCCAAAGUUUUUAAAAGGACCUAAACCACCACUACUCCUGAAGUAUUUCUCUUUCCUUUGGUGUGUGCAUGUGUGUGUUGGUUUUAUUACAGUGACACCUUCUGUCAACAAUCUUCUGUGAAAACUAAUAGAUUUCAUCUGCCAUAAAGCAAGAUUAACUGGAGAAUUUCCAUCUUAAAAAGGGAUUUGUCGCCAUGACCUUACUUCUCAGUGACUGCGUAUCAGUAGCAACAAGUACUUAAGGGACUGCCAUGGUGUGCAAGAUGCUUCAGCACAUUUUGAGAGAAGCUGCAGAAACAGUGCAGGAAAUAGAAAUGGGAAAUGCGUCUCUUCAUCCAAAAAGAAGCCUCCACAUUACUACAACGCAUCACGAGCAAAUUAAAAUACAUUACACAGACUUUUGAAUUAACAUUACGUGAACCUCCGAAGAAAGCGCACAUCUCUGAAGAAAGAACAGUGCAACGCGGCAACUUUAACAUAAAAAGUUAAUGUAAAGUUUGUUACUGUGUGCCAUCACGGCUCUCAUUUGAACAGCAGGUGAAAUACCUAAUUUUUUGUUUACUCUGGCCCAAAUCCUACUAAUCGCAGGUUUUCUUUCACUGAACUAUUAAAAGCUACUUUGUCUGCUCCAACUGAUCAAAAUAGUAAAAUUAUCAACUCGGUUACUUUGCUUUUACAAAUCAAUGUUCCCACAAACCUCAAGGGACAGCAACCCUUCAAUAAACAAGCGAGCAAAAAAAGAAUCGUACAUUUCACCUCCAAGGAUUACCUACAUCAAAGUAUGCAGCAAACAUAUCAUCUGAUUCUGUGAACAUAUCAGGAGCCAGCAGUUUCUUCUGAGCUGAACCUUGAAGGGAAAUUCACAUUAUUCAAGGUGAGGAAGAUGGCAAGCGGUCAACAGUUAGCAAUGUAAUCUGUGACUUGAUAUUGGUACAAUACAAUCUCAAAAUCAACAUGGUGGCAAACUAAAGUAUUUGCAAGCAAAGUUAGAGCUAAUUUACAUUAUACAAAUACAAAAAUGAGAUGGUAAAGUUCUUCAAAGCACUCAAAAAAAACCUUGUACCUCCUUGAAAAAUUAAGUAUAGCAGCUUUCAAGCAAUUCACACAGCAGGAAGAAAAAGUACAUACUUGAUACAAUCCUUACAAGUGACUGCCCAAAAAUAUACAUUUAUAUGUAUUAAAAGAUGCAGACAGGAUUUCAGUACACAAGUGUGGGGUUUUCUGAUAAUCACAAAGUAUUUUACUACAAACCAAGUUGUACAGCCCAGAAACUGUUUCUUUGGGAAAUGUUUUCUUCAGCUCCAUCGAAAACGAUCUCAUGGAGCUUACAAUGAAAGAUGAAGCUGAUUAUGUUUAAAAGACAAACACCCUUAACAUGGAGAAGAUCCCUUUCUCACCUUUUAAUCAUCUUUAAAGUCCCAAAGACAUUUUAUUUGGUUGACAAGAUAAAAACAAAGAAAAAUAAAUUAUACAUUGGUGAAUGCAAA